rnacentral:lncRNA from 1 species
CAAGUACUACUGCUAUAGCCGCCACUACUGCUAUUGCUACAAUGUUACUAUUUUUACUACUGCUCCUACUGCUACUAUCACUACUGUUAUUACUAUUGUUGUUACUGUUGCUGCUGCUACUGCUGCUACUGUUACUGCUAUUAUUGCUACUACUACAACUGUCACUACUACUGCAUUAUAUGUAACACCAAAAAAAAUU